UUGAAGGUCGUACCGACGGAAAAUCAACUUCUCGGGUGCUUAUCAUGGGUGACGUUGAGCCUCACGGUCUUCGUUGCUUGUGUUAUUGGUACCUUUGUUGUGCACUUUUUCGUAUGGUAGGUCAACAUCGAUUUUGAUCGUCAUAAAAUGAUUGGAGGAAUGUAGCUUUGAUUUCGAUCGAAGUGUUAUAGCCUUUGGUAUAUGUGACGAUUGGGAUCGAGGAUUGCAACGAAUACCCUUUGGGCUAUCCGUCUGGCCUCUGAAAGUCGCUUGGGUGUCGAAAGCGUGCUUAUGGCCAUACAAGUUGACGGUCAAUAGGUUAGAACGCGAUUACAUUCGUUAA
rnacentral:rRNA from 1 species